AGCUCCAUUAGCGUAUAUUAAAGUUGUUGCAGUUAAAAAGCUCGUAGUUGGAUUUCAGUACGGGCCAGUUGGUCGGCCGCAAGGCCUGUUACUGGCUGGUCUGUUCUUCUUGUCAAAGACUGCGUGUGCUCUUCGUUGAGUGUGCGUAGGAUUUGGGACGUUUACUUUGAAAAAAUUAGAGUGUUCAAGGCAGGCUUUUCAGCUUGAAUACAUGAGCAUGGAAUAAUGGAAUAGGACUUUGGUUCUAUUUUGUUGGUUUCUAGGGCCGAAGUAAUGAUUAAGAGGGACAAUUGGGGGCAUCCGUAUUUCGUUGUCAGAGGUGAAAUUCUUGGAUUUACGAAAGACGAACAACUGCGAAAGCACUUGCCAAGAGUGUUUUCAUUAAUCAAGAACGAAAGUA
rnacentral:rRNA from 1 species